rnacentral:misc_RNA from 1 species
GAUGAAGACGUAGCGAAAUGCGAUACUUGGUGUGAAUUGCAGAAUCCCGUGAACCAUCGAGUCUUUGAACGCAAGUUGCGCCCGAAGCCUCGGCUAAGGGCACGUCUGCCUGGGCGUCACGCAUCGCGUCUCCCCCAAACCGCCAAGGCGGAGGGGAAGGAAGAUGGCUUCCCGUGCCUCACCCGGCGCGGUUGGCCUAAAUUUGGAGCCCGCGGCACUUAGCUCUCGCGGCGAUAGGUGGUGAACAAGGCCUUGGCCGUGCAAACAACCCGCUGCGAAGCUCUAUGUCACGUGCGCUCGUCGGACCCUUUGAAGUUGCCUUCGGUGACUUAAAACCUUUGCGACCCCAGGUCAGGCGGGGCUACCCGCUGAAUUUAAGCAUAUCAAUAAGCGGAGGA